rnacentral:rRNA from 1 species
GGCUCCCUUCGGGGUCCGCAUUGUAAUUUGCAGAGGAUGCUUCGGAAUCGGCCCCCAUCUAAGUGCCCUGGAACGGGCCGUCAUAGAGGGUGAGAAUCCCGUCUGGGAUGGGGUGUCCGUGCCCGUGUGAAGCUCCUUCGACGAGUCGAGUUGUUUGGGAAUGCAGCUCUAAUUGGGUGGUAAAUUUCAUCUAAAGCUAAAUAUUGGCCGGAGACCGAUAGCGCACAAGUAGAGUGAUCGAAAGAUGAAAAGCACUUUGAAAAGAGAGUUAAAAAGCACGUGAAAUUGUUGAAAGGGAAGCGCUUGCGACCAGACUCGCCCGCGGGGUUCAGCCGGCAUUCGUGCCGGUGUACUUCCCCGCGGGCGGGCCAGCGUCGGUUUGGGCGGCCGGUCAAAGGCCCCUGGAAUGUAACGCCUCUCGGGGCGUCUUAUAGCCAGGGGUGCCAUGCGGCCUGCCCGGACCGAGGAACGCGCUUCGGCUCGACGCUGGCAUAAUGGUCGUAAGCGACCCGUCUUGAAACACGGACCAAGGAGUCUAACAUCUACGCGAGUGUUCGGGUUCAAACCCGUGCGCGCAGUGAAAGCGAACGAGGGCCCCCCGGGUGCACC